GGUUCAAGACAGGGACACAUCUCAGGAGCACAGAGGACCUGGGCAGCCUGACCUCAGCCUCUCCAGAUAUCAGAAGAGCCUCACCCACAUGCAAAUCCCUCCUCCUGCUCUGGGUUCAAAGGCCCUCUGGGCUGUGGGAGCUCCCAGCUCUCUGCUCACACAGGGCUGAGGUCUCUGGGAAGGCAGGUGUGGUCUAGAAGAUGAGGCUGCUGGGUCUUGUCCUGUGCCUGGUCACAGCUCCCCAAGGUGUCCUGUGCCAGGUGCAGCUGCAGGAGUCAGGACCUGGCCUGGUGAAGCCCUCGCAGACCCUGUCCCUCACCUGUGCUGUCUCUGGUUACUCCAUCACCAUUGGUUACUGCUGGAACUGGAUCCGGCAGCCCCCAGGGAAGGGGCUAGAGUGGAUAGGGUGCAUAAGUUAUAGUGGUAAUACUAACUACAGCCCAUCCCUCAAGAGCCGAGUGUCCAUCUCCAGAGACACGUCCAAGAACCAGUUCUCCCUGCAGCUGAGCUCUUUGACCUCUGAGGACAUGGCCACCUAUUACUGUGCCAGAGCCACUUUGCGGGGACCUCAGUGUGAGAUGUGUCAGGAGUGCUCUGCUUCAGCAGCGGCUGCACAGUCUCCUCUCUAG